GGGAGAAGAGAGAGAGUACAGCCUUACCAUGUACACACACUCCAAUCUCAACAGUCUCUUAUAUAUGCUGCUGUUACCUGUGAGUGUGAUGAAGGCUGUACCCUCUCUCUUCUUCU
rnacentral:pre_miRNA from 1 species